GAGUUUGUAAGCGAGUUUGAUUUGAGUCCCUCUGACGAAAAAUGACGUUUAGUGACGGUAAAAAAACCGCCAACUAACGUCAUUUUUCGUCAGAAGGACUAAAAUCAAACUCGGGACAAAUUU
rnacentral:pre_miRNA from 1 species